rfam:Lupinus angustifolius cultivar Tanjil chromosome LG12, whole genome shotgun sequence.
CCAUGUUUGGUAGAGAUGUUUGGAAUGAGAGAUGGGAAAUUCGUUUUUCUAAUACACUCUCCCUCUCUCACUCCAUACAUCGUCUCGCAAACAUAGU